UUGCUACAAAUCUCCAUUGUUGGCUUAAAAUUCUGCGAAUUUGGCGACUAGAAAAAGUUGGUGCUAAAAAAAUAACGCGACAAAAAAGCAAAAUAUGGAAAACCGCAAUAGCAAAAGAGUGACGAAGGAUCAAAAAUAUAUGCUCGUUCAAUAUUUGGAGGAUCAUAGAGAAUUUGCUCACGACAGAUUCGUCAAUGGCACCGGGAGCAAAAGUUUAGCUGAG